rnacentral:rRNA from 1 species
GAUGAACGCUAGCGGGAGGCCUAACACAUGCAAGCCGAGCGGUAUUGUUUCUUCGGAAAUGAGAGAGCGGCGUACGGGUGCGUAACACGUGUGCAACCUGCCUUUAUCUGGGGGAUAGCCUUUCGAAAGGAAGAUUAAUACUCCAUAAUAUAUUGAACGGCAUCGUUUAAUAUUGAAAGCUCCGGCGGAUAGAGAUGGGCACGCGCAAGAUUAGCUAGUUGGUAAGGUAACGGCUCACCAAGGCGAUGAUCUUUAGGGGGCCUGAGAGGGUGAUCCCCCACACUGGUACUGAGACACGGACCAGACUCCUACGGGAGGCAGCAGUGAGGAAUAUUGGUCAAUGGGUGCAAGCCUGAACCAGCCAUCCCGCGUGAAGGACGACUGCCCUAUGGGUUGUAAACUUCUUUUGUAUAGGGAUAAACCUACCCUCGUGGGGGUAGCUGAAGGUACUAUACGAAUAAGCACCGGCUAACUCCGUGCCAGCAGCCGCAGUAA